GGCUGUGGCUCAAGUGGUAGAGUGCUCGCCUAGCAUGAGUGAGGCACUGGGUUUGAUUCUCAGCACCA
rnacentral:tRNA from 1 species